rnacentral:sRNA from 1 species
AAAAAAAAAUGAAAAAAAAAUGAAAAAAAAA